rnacentral:rRNA from 1 species
CCUACGGGCGGCAGCAGUGAGGAAUAUUGGUCAAUGGGCGCGAGCCUGAACCAGCCAAGUCGCGUGAGGGAAGACGGUCCUAUGGAUUGUAAACCUCUUUUGUCGGGGAGCAAAAGACGCCACGUGUGGCGUUCCGAGAGUACCCGAAGAAAAAGCAUCGGCUAACUCCGUGCCAGCAGCCGCGGUAAUACGGAGGAUGCGAGCGUUAUCCGGAUUUAUUGGGUUUAAAGGGUGCGCAGGCGGGAGAUCAAGUCAGCUGUGAAAUUGUGUGGCGCAACCUGAUAGAUCCAUUUGAACGGGGUAGUAGGGAGGAUGGGAGAGGUAGGUGGAAGUAGUGGGGGAGGGGUAAAAUGCGUAGAG